ACCAAUCAAACUCUCCCCUCAUUUUCCACACGCAAUCAGACACCAUCACUUCAAACCUCUUCUCAACCAAUCAGAGAAGCUAUCAUUCUCUAUCUCAUCUUCUUCCUCUUUCUCUCACAUGUACCUCCAUCUUCUCUGCAACUACAAGGACCUUCAUCAAACACUCACAAAUCGAACUUAAAAAUACCACCAUCGUGAUCCUCCCAUCCUCACGAACCCCAUAAUACAAAUCGAUCUUUAAGUGGUUGAGUUUUGGCUCACUAACUUGGAAGCUCCGACUCAGAAGAGUUUGCUCCAACGUGAUCCCAGCCGAGUUACGAUAUUUUGAAGGUUGUGGAAGCAUCUACACAACUCCCUGGAGUCCCUAGGCUAAGUUUGAAGUGAAGACAACGUCGAGAAGCACGGUUUCAAGGAGUCGAGUUUUAAGCCAAGACUUGCGAGGCUUUUUCAGGCCAUUUUUCGUCCAUUUUUAGGCUUUUGAAAGGUAUAGACUUGUUCUACUCCUCAAGAUCUCUAUUUCCAUAUAAACUUUGUUGAAAAUGGUUAAGAAAUAAGCGAGUUAUGAAGGUUUGAAAAUCUUCCAAUUUCCAACGAAACCAGACGGCGGCACCAGCAAUGGUGAGACUCAUCGGAGAAAACGAGGAAUAUUCCGUCAAAGUUGACGGAAUAUUCUAACGACGUCAGGUAACGCCGUUACUAUUUAAUGAAAUAUUCAAUUAAUUAUGACAGAAUAUUCCUAUUGUCCGUCAGACUUCUUUCAGUCCCUGGCCUGUGCGUGGGCGCGCGUGAGGGCGCGUCCGGCCACCGGCCGGCGAGUGCUUGACAUAUUCGGGUCCAUGAUGUCGAGUAUAGUGUUUUCAUAUAUUUAAACCUUUCAUUUGAGCAAAAUAUGAGGAGCUUUCCUAGCUUUUAGUGAAGGUGUUAAUUAACUAAUUAUUAUUAGUUGUUUCACAUAUAGGGGAGACUUACCUUGAGAACGUACGAGGACAAGCGAGGCUAGGGGGCUACGAUCCAUCUACGUAUCAGUGAAUGAGCCUUUUGUUUUCAAAUAUAUAUAUAUAUAUAUAUAUAUAUAUAUAUAUAUAUAUAUGCUUUUAAAUUGAUUUAUGCAUAUUAUGCCAUGAUUUAUUAAAUUUUUAAAAUGAUGUUAUGUGGUUGAGAUUUAUAUAUUGUCAUGGCAUAUUCAUAUACAUUUUACCUGCUCAUCAAUGUUGUUGUAAAAUGCUAAAAUAAUCCUACAAGAUGCGCAUGUAAGUUCAAGUAAGUUCAUAUAUUGAUUAGAAUUAUUGCAUCAUUAUGGCAUGCUUAUAUUCAUGUAGUCUACUCAUCAUUGCUGCACCCUGGUGUUAGUGCUCACCCCGGGCCAGGGCCAGUCCUUCACGUGUAUGUUCACCUCUGCACUGCACGCUAGCCUUGGAUCCAAGUAGGUGCUAGUCAUGUCGUACAGGUCGUAUUAGGCGACUCUGACUCGUAGGUGACCGCGAUUAUCGCCAGUCUUCAUGUGAUCGUAGCAUUAUAGUGUAUAUUAAUACACCCUGUCAUGUCAUACAAGUCACACUAGGCGACUUCGACUUGUGUGCUAGCAUAGAUUGAUAAGCAUGCCAAUCGUACAGAUCACAUUAGGCGAAUAUGACUUAUGUGCUAGUAUAUAUCAAUUGAACACCUGAUUUUAUUUAUAUUACUGUUGAGAUAUUGUGGUGUGGCAUACUACUUGAUUUACUGUUGAUUUAUAUUUGAUUUCAUACCUAUACGUAGUAUGAUUUUCUGUAAACUAUACAUGUUUUACAGCGAGGGGUUAGUAUGUUCGGAAAAUAACUAUGUUUUAUAAACCUUUAUUUUUAUGCCCACUCACCCUUCUGUUUUUCGCCCCUCUAAGUCCUAUAUAGCUAACCUACCUUGUGGUGUGCGAGGAUCAGCAGCGAUUAUGACAUAUUCCUGUUUAAAUGUAGGGGACUUUUCCCGGUUGUGUACUAAGUACUUAUUUAGUUUCGUCUGCACUGCUUAUUUUAUCUAUGCUCUGAACAGUUGUAGUUUAUGGGUUCUACCCGCUACUGCACACUCACUUUAUUAGUUUAAAUAUGUUCUAACUUCGGUUUUAAUUUAUUCACACUUUUACAUCAUUCACACUUUGGUUACGUCACCUUCAGGGCGACAGCCACCAUGCCUUGACUCCGGUUGGGGUGUGUCAUCUAGCAUGCCUACUAAAACAAUCUUAAUUUCAAUUUUAAUAAGUCUAAUUCAACCCAUGAGUUUUGGGCAUUUUUUUGAUAAAUUAUUCAAUUAAUAGACAAAAUUUGGAAAAAAAAUCAUUUUAAAACUAUUAAGACAUUUAAAAUUAUAGUGAAGAAAAUAUAUUAUUACGGUGCUUCUAAGAAACACUAAAAUGACAACCAUUUAACCGAACAUUGAUAUUGUUUUUUUACUUGGAUGAUUUUUCGUAAAAAUGAUUAUUUAGGAAAGACUUAAAAAUAAAAGGUUCAUAUCAUUGAAAUUCAAGUGGACCUGACAAAGUCUCUAUUUUUUAGAAAAUAGGAAUCACUCACCUCAAGCAACCUGGUCUAAGUAAUAAUAUUAUUAUGUUAUUAGUAUUAUAGUAUAGUAGUAUGAGAUCUGAUUUUCACAUAACCAUUUUAACCCCAAUUCCAACAAAAUUAACUUUUAAAUUUUAUUUCACUUGAUUGUAAUUGAUUCUUAUUCAAUCCACAUAAAAAAAAUUAGGGACGAAGCAAAAUAAGGUGUAUAGCCCAAGGGUGUCCUAAAGUGGCGAAAAUAUUCAAUCAACAUUGUAUAGCUCAAAAAUAAAACUAUUCUUUAUUUAUGAUCAUCAGAUUGAAUGAAUCAAAUGGAAACAACAAACAUAUUAAAAGAGUGUGUAGAAUAGAAAAAUGAUGUGUGUUUAUCAUUUUCUUAGCUAGUAGUAUCUAUCUCCAUUUGUAGGUGAGAGAUUUCAGAUUUGACCCACAUUGAUGGCGAGUUCGAUAACUAAUUAUUAUUAGGGAGUUUUAACGAAAAAUCCGCGGUACUAUUCACUUUAACGAAAAAUUACAUUUUCACACUAAAAAGUCAAACAUGGUACUGUUCACUUUAUCCUUUAUUUUGUCAUUAUCGCUAAAACUCAAAGUUUUCAAGUUUUUUUUCAUUAGUUUUAUUUUAUUAUUAAUGACCAAUUAUCUGACUUAAACUUAAAAGCAUCAACCCUUAACAUAGAUUAUCAUUGUACUAAAAAUAUUAUUAUUUAAUACAUAAAUACAAAUGUUAGACAACACGAGCAUAAAACCUUCUCGAUUUGAAACCAAGGAUAUAUAUAUUUUGGGAGUUGCCAAGAAAAACAUCAAAUUUAUUUGUACUACCUUUGCUUGGAACACCUAUUGAGGGUAAAAUUGCGUGUGCGUUUGAAAAAAUAGCGGCGUCAAAGGUGGUGAGGGCGAGCCCGUGAGCGAGUUGAGUACCAAAAGCCAAAGGGAAAGGAAUCGGUGGUGGAAUUUGGGAAAUACAGCAAAGACCUUGCUUGGGUCAAAUAUAUAUGCGCGUUUCUUAAGGGGCAGGUCUCAAGUCUCUCUAUUAUCUCAUCAUUCCAUGCAUGCUUUUGACAACGUGUUGUGGUAUUGUGGAUGCCAUGCACCUUCAUAUGAAACAUCAAAAUCAAUCAUUUUGUGUUUUGCUUUUGGUUACGUAGUGUUAAGGAGAUAAAUCAUCCACAUAUAACCAUUGGCGGAUCCAAGAUUUGAACAUUAGGGGCCUCAGCAUUAAAGAUCUAAGUUUUUUAAAAGAAACAGAGUGCGAAGUGCAUAAAAAAAUUUCAGUUUAUUCACUGAAACAUUUCGUCGAACACUUGUUGGGCUUGUUGCCGUCAACCAAACUAUGUUGCACACAUGUCAACAGAUAUCAACAUAUACCGAAGCACUUUGAGGAGUGUUAUCGAGUGUUCUCGAUGCAACCUGCUGAGUGAUGUCGAGAUAUGUCUAGAUGGUCUCAAGUCCGAUUGUCAUGAAUAACAAGUUCAUACCUACUUUUAGUGACAGCUCAAAUCCUCACAUCCAGUGGCGAAGCCACGUGAAGGCGAGGAGUGGCGCCUCGCCGGAAAACACAGCCCCAGCGCAGGUUCAGCCCCUCCCCUCCCCAGGGCCAACCUAGGCCCAAUGCAGGCAGGGCGACCGUCCAUGGCCCAAAAUAAUUGGGGGCAUCAAAAUUAUUAGGGUGGUACAUUUAUAUAUGUUUUCAUAAGAGUAUACAUUUAUAAAAUUUGGUUUAAUGACAAAGAAAUUUAACUAGAAAUGAUGGUUUUAUUGUUUGAAAUUAAUAAGGAGGUCUUGGGUUCAAAUCA